AUAGCUUAGGGGUAGAGCAUUUGACUGCAUGCAGUUCAAGAAGUCCCUGGUUCAUAUCCAGGU
rnacentral:tRNA from 1 species